ACGACCUUACUUGAACAUGAUCUGUUCUAUAGGCUCGUACCACUGUAUUCUUGAUUUCUUAGGAGACCAAGCCAAGUCUGGUUGAUUUGAUCAGGAGACCAAACCAAGUUUGGUUGAUGAGGCAUGGUCAUGUGACCAGAGCGUGAUUAGUAGUUGUCCACGACUCCUUGAGCUAUGUGGUACAAUGAUCGUUCUUAGACCUAAUCUCAGGUGUGAGAUGGUCUCAUGUCUGUCUGACAGACA
rnacentral:snoRNA from 2 species